UACGGGGGGGGCAAGCGUUGUUCGGAAUUACUGGGCGUAAAGGGUGCGUAGGCGGUCCGCUAAGUUGGAUGUGAAAACUCUGGGCUUAACCCAGAGCCUGCAUUCAAAACUGACGGGCUAGAGUUCUGGAGGGGGUAGCGGAAUUCCUGGUGUAGCGGUGAAAUGCGUAGAUAUCAGGAGGAACACCAACGGCGAAGGCAG
rnacentral:rRNA from 1 species